ensembl:lncRNA
GAAUACAUGCUAUUGGAUAAUUUUGAUAAGACUGUCUGUCUAUUUUAUGCAAAUAAGGAUCUUACAAAUUCUUAGAAACAGACAGAGUGAUUUUAAUUGAAUUGGUUAAUGAACACAUAUAGGAAUUGUAAGAUUCCAUUGACAAUUUGGUCCUUCGAGCGGAUUUCCAAAAAUCUGUCCCUGUCGUCAGAAGAAUUGACCCGUAAAUUAAAGACCUGGCCCCUGGAUUGGGUUUCAAAGAACAGGCUGAUAUAAUAUCUAAGGCCGACAGAGUGUUGUGGAAUAAUCAGAAUUGGUUGGUAACAUAGAGGAAAUUUCCACGACAAGAGACGGUGACGGAAUUUCACGAACAUUGCUUUUCCCAGUCUACAAGACGACGUACGGAAGUCAACCUCAGUUCCCGAUGACAUAAGGACUGGUGUCCAUACAUUUAAAAGGGCUCAUUUCAACGUGGAGGUGACGUUCACCACGCUGGAAGGAUGAAUUUCGACUAGACCUGCUAGAAUACAGCACGAGCUGAGUAUGGCAACUUGGUAUGAACUUUGAAAUCUUAUUCACUAAAGAAGAAGAUACAUCCUAGACGUUGAGUUAUCAGCUGCAGCUGUAAACGUACGUGACCUAGGAAAGGACAGACAAUCUCCUGAGAAUGACAGGGAAUUCAACGUAUCCACUCUACAACACUAUGACCAGAUUGAAGACUCUAAGGACAAUGGUGAUCUCUGCUGGGUAAACCAGUCUUCCAUCUUCGACCCAUUUAUCGAAGCACAGCUCAGUGUAAAUUGUAAAAGUUAAAACGUCAAAUGGAUCUCCCUCCUGGUCCUCUUCCCCUGUCUUACCCACCAAGGGUAGAGACAGAGAUGACCUCGCCUACUGAAAUACUGGAUUGGGCAAAGCCACCAGAAGACGACUCAAGCCAACCAACUACUGAACCUGACUGGUGUCAGAAAGAAUCACCCUCUGCCUCAAGUGACACCUCUGAAUGGGAACAGCUGUUAGACUCAUUGCUGAUAGAGUAAGGGCAGUGUCAUAAACAGAGGCCCAUAUGCGCACUGUAAGAAUAGUAUUUCCUCAUUGUUGCUAGAGUAAUAGGCUCUGUCAUAACCAGAGGCCCAUAUAUGCACUGUAAGAAAAGUAUUUCCUGUUGUAAGAUAUGUCAUCACCCUUUCUGCUCUGAGGGAAUGGGAGAUGCAGCGGAUCGGGUGCGGAGAAUCAAAAGGUAUAUAAAGAGACAUUUGCCAUUACUUUGGCGCUGACUUCUUGAAUUCUGAAUUCAUUUCGACAACCAUUUGACUUUGGGUAAUUGCCACCUGACUCAAAUUACUUAAAGAUUCUAACUUGUUGGAUCUGAGAAGGGUCUCUCCGAUAUACCGUUUAACUAUUGAACAGCUGUUCUCUCGCCUGUGGCCUUGGUGCUUGUAUACUGAUGCAAAUUAUAUCCAGAGCCAGUCUUUGAAACUGCAACUCUCGAUUGAGCUCAGUACCUCGCCCUAGUUGCAUGGCACGGAUGCUGCGGUAGUUCAACGGGACUGAGAGUCACUCUAGUCCUUAAGUUGAUCUCCUGUUAAUACCUACGGUUAUCUGAAUUGACCCUGUCGCCCACGGCCUUGGUGCUUGUAUACUGAUGCAAAUUACACCCAGAGACAGUCUUUGAAACUGAACCUCUCGGUUGAGCUCAGUACCUCGCCCUAGUUGUGUGGCACAGACUCUUCGAUAUUCCAGUAGGGCAGGGAAUCACCAGCGGGUUCUCUCAUCCAGUCCAAACUUGAAUCUCUCAAUUUAGUAAAGCACCGACUUCAAGUCAACCUCUCAGCCAGUAGAAGGGAGUCGCUACUAACUAAAUUCAAAAAGAACUCUGACUGAUUGAAACUCUGCUCCUGAUCUCGUGGGUCUCCUCGUCAUCUCUCAAAGGUAAUUAAAUAACUAUUAUAAGUAUUUAAUAUAGAGAUAAGUGUUAUCAUUGUACCAGGCAUUUUAUAGAGCAUUUAAGGCAUUUGCAUGUUUUUGAUUAACGCUGUGUGUGACCCAGUAACAAAUUGUGUAUUUUGAAGUGUGUUUGAUUGUAAAAGACAAAAAACAAAGUGUUUUCAAAAAUAAACGGUAGUCUUAUUUUGUCUCGAGUAAAAGGUUCUCUCAAAGACAGUUAACGGCACGGGAGAUAACAACUCUGACACUCCCCGCUACCGGGACACUGGAAACGGGGAUCAAUGCUCUAUGACAGAAUGAGUUACCAUUAAAAGACAA